rnacentral:misc_RNA from 1 species
AAGUCGUAACAAGGUUUCCGUAGGUGAACCUGCGGAAGGAUCAUUAUCGAGGAAAUUCCGGCCGAGGGGCACUGCCCCGGAGCUGAAAUCUUCUACCCUGUCCUUUAGAUACCUCUACCUCCUCCCCGGCCACAGCGCCGGGCUGGCUACUCAAAAGAACCUUGCAGUUUACAGUCAAUUCAGUACAAAAACAAACAAAAUUACAACUUUCAACAAUGGAUCUCUUGGCUCUG